UACGUAGGGUGCAAGCGUUGUCCGGAAUUAUUGGGCGUAAAGAGCUUGUAGGCGGUUUGUCGCGUCUGCUGUGAAAUUUCGGGGCUCAACCCCGAACUUGCAGUGGGUACGGGCAGCUAGAGUUGUGAGGGGAGACUGGAAUUCCUGGUGUAGCGGUGAAAUGCGCAGAUAUCAGGAGGAACACCGGUAGCGAAGGCGGGUCUCUGGGCCGAUACUGACGCUGAGAGCGAAAGCGUGGGGAGCGAACAGG
rnacentral:rRNA from 1 species